GCGCCUGUGGCCCAAUGGAUAGGGCGCCAGCCUCCGGAGCUGGAUGUGCAGGUUCAAUUCCCGCCAGGCGCACCA
rnacentral:tRNA from 1 species